UCAAAGCUCCCUCACGAAAGUUUAUUUGAUUUCAAGUUUAUUUUACAACGAAACCACAAAUCAACAAAAUCUGAGACACUGCUCUAGUACGGUCCUAGAAAAAGAUAAAUUCGUUUUAAAUGGUCUCUGUCAGCACAUCUUGUGCGAAAUAAAACACUACAAAUGAGACUAAGUGAAGCCAAGAUGAAGGAAACCGAUGUACGCGAAUGACAAGUUAGAAAUGUUAGUUUGGUGCUUCUCCGAGUGAACCUCUUUGACUUUAAGUUAUUUUUUUUAUAAAAAUAUAAUUUUUCACACACUUAAGUCUGUUUUUUCCCAAACUUUCAGUCAAACAACAACUCAUUUCCUCUUCCAGAGCCGUUUUAUAAUUGUGAAUUGUGCUUAAAUUUCAACUGACUUGGAGAAAUCGCUGGGAGAGAGCACAUACCCUGAAUUUACCUGGAUCCUGAAGCAAUAAAUAUUUGUUCAUAAACCCUCUCUUCUAUGUGGGUUCUCUCAUCUUCAGAAAAUUAAAAAAGUCCUGCACAUCUGGCAGCCUUCACAAAAAGCCCUUUGGAAUCAGCUGUGGUCCUGCAGAUUUCCACUGGCCUGCUCCUGACUUCUAGUAGGCUACUGGUAGGAACGGUGGAGACUCAAAAACAGGGGCUACCCAUGUCCUCCAGUGGGUUUUUAGCUCAGCAACCAUGUGACUGAACUUGGAAGCAGACCCUUUAUCCCCAGUUGAAUCUUCUUGAGAUGACUGGAACCCUGGCUAACAGCUUAAUAAUCUCCAGAGAUAAUCUGGGCAAGAACCACUCAGGUAAGCCAUUCCUGUAUAUCUGACCCUCAAAACUAUAAUAAAUAUUUGUUGAUUUAAAGCUGCUAAAUUUGA
rnacentral:lncRNA from 13 species